AUGAAAACCAACCAGUCCUCACUCUGCAGCUCUGCAGAGAAGCCCAGCCCUGGAAGUCCAAGUGUUUCCACUUGGUGAUCAUCACUGAGCACUGACGAGUCACCAUGGAGUUUACAAUGAGUUGGGUUUUCCUCCUUUUCAUUUUAAAGGGUGUCCAGGCUGAAGUGCAGCUCGUGGAGUCCGGGGGAGGCUUGGUGCAGCCCGGGGGCUCCCUGAGACUCUCCUGCUUGGCCUCAGGAUUCACCUUCAGUAACUACGGGAUGAGCUGGAUCCGCCAGGCUCCAGGGAAGGGGCUGGAGUGGAUCUCAGCUAUCAGUGAUAGUGGUGCUAGCACAUACUACGCAGACUCCGUGAAGGGCCGAUUCACCAUCUCCAGGGACAAUGGCAAGAACCUGCUGUAUCUGCAGAUGAGCAGCCUGAGACCCGAGGACACGGCCGUGUAUUACUGUGCAAGAGACACAGUGAGAGAAUGUAGCUGUGAGCCCAGACACAAACCUCCCUGCAGCGGCAUUCACCACCAGCAGGGGGAGUUGGGGAUUUAUGAACUGAGACCAGAGGGGGCCCCUGAAGCAGGAGCAGAGCAGAAGGCAGGGGAUUGA